UCUGGGUGUGGUGGCACACACCUAUAAUCCCAGCAGCUCCGGAGGCUGAGGCAGAAGAAUUGCAAGUUCAAAGCCAGCCUCAGCAAUUUAGUGAAGUCCUAAGGAAUUUAGCAAGACUCUGUCUCAA
rnacentral:sRNA from 1 species